GUGCCAGCCGCCGCGGUAAUACGUAGGGUGCAAGCGUUAAUCGGAAUUACUGGGCGUAAAGCGUGCGCAGGCGGUUUUGUAAGACAGUGGUGAAAUCCCCGGGCUCAACCUGGGAACUGCCAUUGUGACUGCAAGGCUAGAGUGCGGCAGAGGGGGAUGGAAUUCCGCGUGUAGCAGUGAAAUGCGUAGAUAUGCGGAGGAACACCGAUGGCGAAGGCAAUCCCCUGGGCCUGCACUGACGCUCAUGCACGAAAGCGUGGGGAGCAAACAGGAUUAGAUA
rnacentral:rRNA from 1 species